rnacentral:rRNA from 3 species
GGUUAAGCGACUAAGCGUACACGGUGGAUGCCCUGGCAGUCAGAGGCGAUGAAGGGCGUGCUAAUCUGCGAUAAGCGCCGGUAAGGUGAUAUGAACCGUUAUAACCGGCGAUACCCGAAUGGGGAAACCCAGUGUGACUCGUCACACUAUCAUUAACUGAAUCCAUAGGUUAAUGAGGCGAACCGGGGGAACUGAAACAUCUAAGUACCCCGAGGAAAAGAAAUCAACCGAGAUUCCCCCAGUAGCGGCGAGCGAACGGGGAGGAGCCCAGAGCCUGAAUCAGCAUGUGUGUUAGUGGAAGCGUCUGGAAAGGCGCGCGAUACAGGGUGACAGCCCCGUACACAAAAGCGCAUGUGCUGUGAGCUCGAUGAGUAGGGCGGGACACGUGGUAUCCUGUCUGAAUAUGGGGGGACCAUCCUCCAAGGCUAAAUACUCCUGACUGACCGAUAGUGAACCAGUACCGUGAGGGAAAGGCGAAAAGAACCCCGGCGAGGGGAGUGAAAAAGAACCUGAAACCGUGUACGUACAAGCAGU